rnacentral:rRNA from 1 species
CCCUGGCUCAGAUUGAACGCUGGCGGCAGGCCUAACACAUGCAAGUCGAGCGGAUGACAGGAGCUUGCUCCUGAAUUCAGCGGCGGACGGGUGAGUAAUGCCUAGGAAUCUGCCUGGUAGUGGGGGACAACGUUUCGAAAGGAACGCUAAUACCGCAUACGUCCUACGGGAGAAAGCAGGGGACCUUCGGGCCUUGCGCUAUCAGAUGAGCCUAGGUCGGAUUAGCUAGUUGGUGAGGUAAUGGCUCACCAAGGCGACGAUCCGUAACUGGUCUGAGAGGAUGAUCAGUCACACUGGAACUGAGACACGGUCCAGACUCCUACGGGAGGCAGCAGUGGGGAAUAUUGGACAAUGGGCGAAAGCCUGAUCCAGCCAUGCCGCGUGUGUGAAGAAGGUCUUCGGAUUGUAAAGCACUUUAAGUUGGGAGGAAGGGCAGUAACUUAAUACGUUGCUGUCUUGACGUUACCGACAGAAUAAGCACCGGCUAACU